rnacentral:rRNA from 1 species
UAAAAAGCUCGUAGUUGGAUUUCGGGGCGGCCCGGNUGGUCCGCCGCGAGGUGAGCACUGGUCGGGCGCCCUUCCUCUCGAAGGCUUCGACUGCUCUUCGUUGCGGUGGUCGAGGAGUUCGGGACGUUUACUUUGAAAAAAUUAGAGUGUUCAAGGCAGGCCUCCGCCUGAAUACGUUAGCAUGGAAUAAUGGAAGAGGACCUCGGUCCUAUUUUGUUGGUUUCCAGGGCCGAAGUAAUGAUUGAGAGGGACAGUUGGGGGCAUUCGAAUUCAAUUGUCAGAGGUGAAAUUCUCGGAUUUAUGGAAGACGACCGAGUGCGAAAGCAUUUGCCAAGGAUGUUUUCAUUAAUCAAGAACGAAAGUUGGGGGUUCGAAGACGAUCAGAUACCGUCGUAGUCCCAACCAUAAACUAUCCCGACCAGGGAUCGGCGGAUGUUAGCAUCUGACUCCGUCGGCACCUUACGAGAAAUCAGAGCGUUUGG